UUUGGACAAUGGGCGCAAGCCUGAUCCAGCCAUGCCGCGUGAGUGAAGAAGGCCUUCGGGUUGUAAAGCUCUUUCGGCCGGGAAGAAAUCGGUCUCUCUAAUACGGGGAUCGGAUGACGGUACCGGACUAAGAAGCACCGGCUAACUACGUGCCAGCAGCCGCGGUAAUACGUAGGGUGCGAGCGUUAAUCGGAAUUACUGGGCGUAAAGCGUGCGCAGGCGGUUUGCUAAGACAGGUGUGAAAUCCCCGGGCUUAACCUGGGAACUGCGCUUGUGACUGGCAGGCUAGAGUACGGUAGAGGGGGGUGGAAUUCCUGGUGUAGCAGUGAAAUGCGUAGAGAUCAGGAGGAACACCGAUGGCGAAGGCAGCCCCCUGGGCCUGUACUGACGCUCAUGCACGAAAGCGUGGGGAGCAAACAGG
rnacentral:rRNA from 1 species